rnacentral:rRNA from 1 species
UACGGGGGGGGCAAGCGUUGUUCGGAAUUACUGGGCGUAAAGGGUUUGUAGGUGGCUCGCUAAGUCAGACGUGAAAUCCCUCAGCUUAACUGGGGAACUGCGUCUGAGACUGGCAAGCUUGAGUGCAGGAGAGGAACGCGGAAUUCCAGGUGUAGCGGUGAAAUGCGUAGAUAUCAAGAGGAACACCUGAGGUGAAGACGGGUUGCUGGGCUGACACUGACGCUGAGUGCGCGAAAGCUAGGGUAGCAAACGGG